rnacentral:lncRNA from 1 species
CAAGUAGCUGGGACCACAGGCACCUACUACCAUGCCCAGGACUCAUGUGAUUAUACUGAACUGACCCAGAUAACCCAGGAUAAUUCACAUCUCAAGACCCUUAAACUUGAUGACGUCUGCAAAGUCCCUUUUGCCAUAAGGUUAUAUUGGCAUAUGGUCCAGGAAUUAGUGCAGAGCCACAAUCUCAGAAAGAAAAUGAGAGUGGAUAAUGAAGACAGAUCAUCUGGGUGUAAACCUGAGGAUAUUCCAGAAUAUAGAGGUUAGAGAGAUAAGAAAGAAACUAGCAAGGAAACUAAGGAGCAGCCUCUAAGUAGAAGGAAAAGAAUGGUGAGUUGUAAUUGGAGGUGAAGACAGUUUCAAGGGAGGGUAUGUUAAUUGCUGCUGACACAUCAAGGAAGAUGAGGACUGAGCAUUGACCAUUGGAUUUAGCAACAUGGAGUUUUCUGCUGACCUGGACCUGAGCAGUUUUAAUGGAGUGGUGGGGGCAAUGCAUGACAGAAGAGAAUUCAAGACAGAAGGGACUUUUCCAAAAAAAAAAGGUAUACAAAUGGUUAUUGUGCAACGUGGAAAGAUGUUCACCAAUAUUAGUCAUUUAGGAAAUGAAAAUCAAAAGCACAAUGAGUUACCAGUUCACACUCACUCAGAAGGCAAUAAUCAAAGAAAUGGACAAUAGCAAGGGUUGGGAAGGAUAUGGAGAUAUUCUCCCACAUUGCUGGUGGAAUGUAAAAAUGGUGAAGGUGAAGGUGGAAAAACGGAAAUGAAGUAUUGAGAGGGAGAUGGAAUAUAAGAAGCUUUCUGACAGAUAACCCAAUGGAACAAACUGACUGACUGGGCAUCUGAAAUGAGUAAGAAGGAGUCAAAAAUGAGCAAAAUUAUGCUUCUCUGUGGAUGCAAAUCAUAUCUCCAUUACUUACACCCAGGAGAACUUGUAUGAAGUAGUUAACUUCUCUGGAUUUUAGCUUUUUCAUGUGUACAAUGGGGGGUUUAUGCCUCAUAGAGUUGUAGAAACUGCAAAUGAGAGACUUAUGAAAAGCCUACUGAAUGACCUUAUGAAUAAUAAUAUCAUCAGUGGAAGGUGA